rnacentral:lncRNA from 1 species
CACGACCAGAUGCAUCCAACCCCACCCCCAAGUAAGGACAACUCCCAUAACAUCUCUAUCUCUUUUUGUGUUGUGGUACAUGAUUUGAGCUCCCCCCUCCCCCUUGCUUCUUCACCGGAUGGACAGCUCCCCCUACUUGUGUGAUAUAUGGAAUUGUUAUACUCGAUGGUAGUGAAGGUGUCAAAUUGAACUCGAUGUGAAGAUUUGAAGCAGAGUGUGUUAUAUAUGUGAUGUUGUUGUUCUGAAAUUGAAGUAGAUAUGUAGAUAUGUGGGACUGCUAUAUCUGAUGUGAAAUAUAGAUUUGUGAAACUAAUACCCAUGAUGUGAAACAAAAUUGUAAUUGGAAAGUAUUUUUGUGUUGUAAUGCUUUUUUCCAGAAAUUGGAACGCAUGUUUAUGUUUGUGAAACUGUUGUUUCUUCAUUAUGUGAAUCAUAACUGGUAAGAUCUUUUUUUUUAACUGGUUCAUGUGAGUACUUUGAAAUGACCAGUUUCACUCUUUUCUACAAUAUGAUAUUCAGAUAACUAAAAUAUAGUUCAUUCAUUUAGAAGUUUAAAUAUAGUGAAACUAGUAUGUGUAUGAAAUAUUUCAUAUUUUAU